rnacentral:rRNA from 1 species
CCUACGGGGGGCUGCAGUGGGGAAUAUUGCACAAUGGGGGAAACCCUGAUGCAGCGACGCCGCGUGAGUGAAGAAGUAAUUCGUUAUGUAAAGCUCUAUCAGCAGGGAAGAAAAUGACGGUACCUGAGUAAGAAGCCCCGGCUAACUACGUGCCAGCAGCCGCGGUAAUACGUAGGGGGCAAGCGUUAUCCGGAUUUACUGGGUGUAAAGGGAGCGUAGACGGCAAGGCAAGUCUGGAGUGAAAGCCCGUGGCUCAACCACGGGACUGCUUUGGAAACUGUGUUGCUGGAGUGCAGGAGGGGUAAGCGGAAUUCCUAGUGUAGCGGUGAAAUGCGUAGAUAUUAGGAGGAACACCGGUGGCGAAGGCGGCUUACUGGACUGUAACUGACGUUGAGGCUCGAAGGCGUGGGGAGCGAACAGGAUUAGAUACCCGAGUAGUC